CUUCUACCUGUGCGGCCCUCAACGUCUCCUUGGUGCGGGACCCGCUUCACUUUCGGCUCCCGGAGUCUCCCUCCACUGCUCAGACCUCUGGACCUGACAGGAGACGCCUACUUGGCUCUGACGCGGCGCCCCAGCCCGGCUGUGUCCCCGGCGCCCCGGACCACCCUCCCUGCCGGCUUUGGGUGCGUUGUGGGGUCCCGAGGAUUCGCGAGAUUUGUUGAAAGACAUUCAAGAUUACGAAGUUUAGAUGACCAAAAUGGAUAUCCGAGGUGCUGUGGAUGCUGCUGUCCCCACCAAUAUUAUUGCUGCCAAGAGAUGCUUCAAACUGAAGGCAGCCAGUGUGCUAAAACAUUUAUAAAUCUGAUGACUCAUAUCUGCAAAGAACAGACCGUUCAGUAUAUACUAACUAUGGUGGAUGAUAUGCUGCAGGAAAAUCAUCAGCGUGUUAGCAUUUUCUUUGACUAUGCAAGAUGUAGCAAGAACACUGCGUGGCCCUACUUUCUGCCAAUGUUGAAUCGCCAGGAUCCCUUCACUGUUCAUAUGGCAGCAAGAAUUAUUGCCAAGUUAGCAGCUUGGGG
rnacentral:lncRNA from 1 species